rnacentral:rRNA from 1 species
UACAGGGGGUGCAAACGUUGCUCGGAAUUAUUGGGCGUAAAGCGCACGUAGGCGGCUCCGCAAGUCGGAUGUGAAAUCCCUCGGCUCAACCAAGGAAGUGCAUCCGAAACUGCAGAGCUUGAGUACCAAAGAGGAUCGCGGAAUUCCCGGUGUAGAGGUGAAAUUCGUAGAUAUCGGGAGGAACACCAGUGGCGAAGGCGGCGAUCUGGGUGGAUACUGACGCUGAGGUGCGAAAGCGUGGGGAGCAAACAGG